ensembl:lncRNA
AAAAGUUCUAAGUUACUCUGCUUAGUGCUUACAAACUAUUUGGUUUAAUUGGUCAAACGCCAAGUUGUUCGCGAGACAUAUAAAAGUACGCUAAAACAGAUGAAAAGCAUGUGUGAAAGACGCGUUUUAUUUAGAACUUGUGUCUCGCGGACUCACUCAUGCUUUCAUUGACAGUACUGAUGGACUGAUACACCUUCAUUUAAGCGACUUUUAAGCGGAAAAUUGCCACAGCUCUGACAGCAGACACGAUGAAGAUGAUUACAUUCUUCAUCGUGGGACUCAUUGUACAUGUAGUCUUCUUUCUCUCAAUAUUUGACAUCUAUUUCACAUCCCCUCUCGUCCAUGGAAUGACACCACAUAGUGUCCCUCUGGCCCCUCCGGCCUGAUGGUUUCCAUAAAAUGCAGUUUGAUUCUGUUUUUAAUGAGACCAGGUAUUCCUGGUGUUGGGGUAGCCCUGAUAUAUUACCGAUGUUUGCUAAAGGAGCCACUGGAGAACAUGUGUACACUCACACUUACCCUCCAGAGCGGGAGGACUUUGCCUCCACUGAUGCUUCCAGACUUGAUACAUGGGUAUUUGAUGAAGUGAAGGGAAUAUCUAGAGAACACUGGCCUGGUUGAUGCUGGUGUUGCUGAAAUUGUCACUAUGAUGGACGACUUUUAUGGGCAUGAUAGAAAAACGGCUUAUGUUUUUACAUCCGACCAUGGAAUGACAAAUUGGGGAUCUCACGGUGCGGGACAUCCAUCAAACGCUGACCCACUGGUAUCUUGAGGCACUGGUGUCCAGACACGCAAUGGGAGAGCUCUCACAAAUAUGAUGAUAAUUAUUUAAAAGAAUGGGGGUUGGAUACUUCCAGGAGAGUGGAUGUCAAUCAGGCUGAUAUUGCUCCGGUAAUGUCAUCACUUUUAGGAGUUCCCUUUUCUUUGAACUCUGUGGUAACCGAAAGGAAACUGGGACAGAUGUUUCUGUGUACAGAUCUGCUUAUGGCUCUGUUCUUCUUGGUUCAGUCCAGUCCUUGGACCUACUACAUCUACUGCUUGCUCCCUCUGCCUGUGUGGUUCUCUGUCAUGAGGAAAUUUGAAACUCUUGCCGGACUUGUUUGAGCAAUCCCCUCAUUACCACUCAGCAAAUGCUUUGGAUAUUUUUUGCUAGUUACUUUUGGAAUUGAAUUACUUUUCAGUUCAUUGAGCUGGAUUUUGAGCUGUCUCUUUCUGGCUGUGUUUCCACUGUUGCCUGUGGUGGGACAGGAACCAGACAUUAACUGUGUGUGAGCACUCUUUGUUCACUUAAACCUGUCAUACACAAUAAUUUGUGGUCAUUUUCUUCAUUUAAACUUUUAAACACAUUCAUACGCUCUGAUUAUUAAAGCAGAAUGGCGUCAGGAAGGUUUAUCUUCUAAAUUGAAUGGAGACGCUCUCCUCUGUUCCGAAGGGAUCGUCAGCUGAUCAUCUGCCAGAUGAUGCAGGUGAUGCUGUGUGCUUACACCCUGACCAGCACACACCCAAGUCUGCAGCUGAAGCAAGGCUUGCCUCUCUUUAACUAGCUUGUUAGCUUGCUCACACUAGGUUUGCCAUCUCCAUUCCCAUGAUGCUUUAUUACCAAUUUUAGACUGUAAAGGGAUAGUUUGCCCAAAAAUUACACUUCUGUCAUUGUUUACUCAUCCUCAUGUCAUUUCAAAUCUGUAUGGUUUUCUGUCUUCUGUGGAACACUCAUAAAGUCAUAAAGAUUUAAAAUGACAUGAGGGUGACAAAAUGGUGAGAUGAACCCUUGAUGCAUGACUGCUAACCAGUGAAUUGCACUUCUUCUUUUCAUCCGUCCUGUUCAUACUUUAACCCUUGCUCUCUAACACUUUGUUUUUUAGUUUCCUCAUUUUUGAUAACGUUGUUAAGUUCCACCAGGCUCUUCUCACACACUUCUGAGUAUCCUGAUGUCCUUAGUUUGUGUCUACCUCCUCCUGAGCACAGGGUAAAAGCCACUAACCAUUAAUCUAACGCCAUCUAAUCAUUCAUUUUUAUGUGUCUGUGCUAGGUUUAACAGUACUUCAGCACAUGUUAGAUUUAGUCAAAUUCUCCUCUUGAGGUUGCCUGUCUAAGGAAAUGGAAUUAAAAAAAAAACCACAUAGUGCUUACAGCAAGCUGUUAAGUUGCAGAAGUUUUUAGUUUAGCCACUGACUGGUUUGAGACCGUUUCAGUUAUACAGAGAAUAUUAUAACGAAUAAUUAAUAAUCUAAUUAAAUAAUAACACUACCAUUCAAAAGUUUGGGGUUGGUUAUUUUUUAAGGAGGUCUUACAUGCCCACCAAUGGCUGUUUUUAUUUUUAAUGCAGUAAAUAGUUCAUAAUAUGAAAUAUUACAAACCUGAUUCCAAAAAAGUUGGGACACUGUACAAAUUGUUAGUAAAAAAGGAAUGGAAUAAUUUACAAAUCUCAUAAACUUAUAUUUUAUUCACAAUAGAAUAUAGAUAACAUAUCAAAUGUUGAAAGUGAGACAUUUUAAAAUGUCAUGCCAAAUAAUGGCUCAUUUUGGAUUUCAUGAGAGCUACACAUUCCAAAAAAGUUGGGACAGGUGGCAAUAAGAGGCCGGAAAAGUUAAAUGUACAUAUAAGGAACAGCUGGAGGACCAAUUUGCAACUUCUUAGGUCAAUUGACAACAUGAUUGGGUAUAAAAGAGCCUCUCAGAGUGGCAGUGUCUCUCAGAAGUCAAGAUGGGCAGAGGAUCACCAAUUCCCCCAAUGCUGCGGCGAAAAAUAGUGGAGCAAUAUCAGAAAGGAGUUUCUCAGAGAAAAAUAGCAAAGAGUUUGAAGUUAUCAUCAUCUACAGUGCAUAAUAUCAUCCAAAGAUUCAGAGAAUCUGGAAUAAUCUCUGUGCGUAAGGGUCAAGGCCGGAAAACCAUACUGGAUGCCCGUGAUCUUCGGGCCCUUAGACAGCACUGCAUCACAUACAGGAAUGCUACAGUAAUGGAAAUCACAACAUGGGCUCAGGAAUACUUCCAGAAAGCAUUAUCGGUGAACACAAUACACCGUGCCAUUCACCGUUGCCAGCUAAAACUCUAUAGGUCAAAAAAGAAGCCAUAUCUAAACAUGAUCCAGAAGCGCAGGCGUUUUCUCUGGGCCAAGGCUCAUUUAAAAUGGACUGUGGCAAAGUGAAAAACUGUUCUGUGGUCAGACGAAUCAAACUUUGAAGUUCUUUUUGGAAAACUGGGAUGCCAUGUCAUCUGGACUAAAGAGGACAAGGACAACCCAAGUUGUUCUCAGCGCUCAGUUCAGAAGCCUGCAUCUCUGAUGGUAUGGGGUUACAUGAGUGCGUGUGGCAUGGGCAGCUUACACAUCUGGAAAGGCACCAUCAAUGCUGAAAGGUAUAUCCAAGUUCUAGAACAACAUAUGCUCCCAUUCAGACGUCAUCUCUUUCAGGGAAGACCUUGCAUUUUCCAACAUGACAAUGCCAGACCACAUACUGCAUCUAUUACAACAUCAUGGCUGCGUAGAAGAAGGAUCCGGGUACUGAAAUGGCCAGCCUGCAGUCCAGAUCUUUCACCCAAACAUUUGGUGCAUCAUAAAGAGGAAGAUGCGACAAAGAAGACCUAAGACAGUUGAGCAACUAGAAGCCUGUAUUAGACAAGAAUGGGACAACAUUCCUAUUCCUAAACUUGAGCAACUUGUCUCCUCAGUCCCCAGACGUUUGCAGACUGUUAUAAAAAGAAGAGGGGAUGCCACACAGUGGUAAACAUGGCCUUGUCCCAACUUUUUUGAGAUGUGUUGAUGCCAUGAAAUUUAAAAUCAACUUAUUUUUCCCUUAAAAUGAUACAUUUUCUCAGUUUAAACAUUUAAUAUGUCAUCUAUGUUGUAUUCUGAAUAAAAUAUUGAAAUUCGAAACUUCCACAUGAUUGCAUUCUGUUUUUAUUCACAAUCUGUACAGUGUCCCAACUUUUAAGUAUUAUAGUUUAAAAUAACAUUUCUAUUUAAAUACGUUUUAAAAUGUAUUGUAUUCCUGUGAUGGGAAAGCUGAAUUUCCAGCAGCCAUUACUUUUGUCUUCCGAUGAAUCUGAUUUGGUGCUCAAUAAACAUUUCUUCUUAUUAUCAGUGUUAAAAACAGUUAUGCUGCUUAAUAUUUUUGUGAGAACCAUGAUACAUUUUUUUUUUCAGGUUACUUUGAUGAAUAGAAAGUAAAAAAAAAAAAAAAAACAUUGUGUAAAGUUUAUGUUUCACAGUAAGAGUAGACAAACCACUGAUCAUACCAUAUCCUGUUUUCCCAGCUCUCCAGCAUUGAUUUGGCUGAAAACAUUGACAUUACCAAGAUCAGGCAGCUGAGGCUGGAUGACAUUCGGAAAUAUUUCUUCUUUGCAUCCUUUUGGACUACAAACUAUUAUUUGUGUCUUUUGAUUAUUAAAAAAAUGUUUACACUAUUAUAUAAAUAAUAUAGUUCCUUAACUGUUGUAAUAGUUGUUUUUCAUUAUCAUUGCAUUCUUCUGCUGUGGUAACAUUGCCUCUAUUAAUAGGUAAGCUGCUCAUUUUGAAGUAAAACUGUGCUAUUAAAUAAACUUAAAUAAAUAAAUUAUCUUCCCUCACAG